UUUCAUUUUCAGUUCUUCUUCCCUAUGAAGAAGAAUCUCACGAUUCUCACCGUCGCCUUCUUCCCUUCUACUGAAGAGUCUCACCAUCCUUCUUCACUUCUUAUUUCUACAUCUUCUUCUGUUCUUCUUUUCUGUUCACCUCUUCUUCUACGUUCUUCUUCUUCAUCUGGUUUAGGGUUCUUAUGUUUUUCAUCUUUCUACUGCUAGAUACUAAGUGAAAUAUUGAUUUGGUGAAAGACGAGACAGCAACCGGUGGAAAUAAAUUAAUUGGAAAGUGUGGAUGGGUCUGGUAGAGUUUGAGCUGGAGAACUUGAAUUGGUGAUGGUGUGUUAGUUGCCGAUACAGGUAGCUGGUGGUAAUAUGCUGCUCGAAUUACAGAAGAAAAAGGUUGGGUUUGAGCUGAAAUUAAAGAAGAGAACAUGAAAAAGGUUGUUGUUGAAGGAGGGAUUAAAUGGGCAUUGGUGGUUGGUUUCUAUUGAAGUGAUGGAGAUUAAAAGGGUUUGUGAAUGCAUGCUUUACAGGGAAAGACCAUGAGGCAGUGAAUGGAAGAAUGAAGUUGAAGUGCAGUGAGCUGUAGGUAAUGGUGUUGAUGCUGUGCUGUUAAUGGAGGAGAUCAAGAUAAUGAUUGGUGGUAUUGGCUGUGAGUUAUUGAAGCAACAAAAGUGAAUGGGUCAGAUGCAACUGUUGUGCGUGCAAUAAGUUACAGAAAGAGUUGCAGGUAAUGGUGAACUUGACUUGCAUAUGGUGCUGCUUUUGGUAUUUGGAUAAUGAUGUUGGUGGAUGGAUUAUUUAAGAAGGUAAAAUGAGUGGGUUGGUGCAGCGAAGCAGCUACAGCUACUGCUUGAACUGGUAAUUACAGUUUGAAUUGAUUUUGACUUAGUUUUAGGCGAGAAAAACCAUGGAGAAGAUUGAUGUUUCUUCCAUUGGUUUAUAUAAUUAAAUGAAUGCUUGUUAAAUGAUACCCAUAACUAUGGAAUUAAAUAAUUUUUUGGUUA